rnacentral:rRNA from 1 species
AGUAACGCUGGCGGUGUGCCUAUACAUGCAAGUCGUGCGCGCUGGCCCACUGAUUGAUGGGGCUUGCCCCUGUGUGACGUUGGAUCACCAGUGAGUGGCGGACGGGUGAGUAACACGUAAGUAACCUGCCCCGGAGCGGGGGAUAACAUUUGGAAACAGAUGCUAAUACCGCAUAACAACAAAAGCCACAUGACUUUUGUUUGAAAGAUGCUUUUGGCUAUCUCUCUGGGAUGGACCUGCGGUGCAUUAGCUAGUUGGGAAGGUAACGGCUUACCAAGGGGAGGAUGCAUAACCGAGUUGAGAGACUGAUCGGCCACAAUGGAACUGACACACCGACCUUACUCCUACGGGAGGAAUCAGUAAGCAACCUUCCAGAAUGGACGCAAGCCUGAUGGACCACCACCGCGUGAGUGAAGAAGGCUUUCCGCUCGUAUAGCUCUGUUGUUGAAAAAGAACGUGCGUGAAAGUAACUGUUCACGCACUGCCAGUAUCCAACCAGAAAGUCACGGCUAACUACCUGCCACCACCCGCGGUAAUACGUAGGUGGCAAGCUUUAUCCGGAUUUAUUGGGCGUAAAGCGAGCGCAGGCGCUUGCUUAAG